AGAGUUUGAUCAUGGCUCAGAUUGAACGCUGGCGGCAGGCCUAACACAUGCAAGUCGAGCGGUAGCACAGAGAGCUUGCUCUCGGGUGACGAGCGGCGGACGGGUGAGUAAUGUCUGGGAAACUGCCUGAUGGAGGGGGAUAACUACUGGAAACGGUAGCUAAUACCGCAUAACGUCGCAAGACCAAAGUGGGGGACCUUCGGGCCUCAUGCCAUCAGAUGUGCCCAGAUGGGAUUAGCUAGUAGGUGGGGUAACGGCUCACCUAGGCGACGAUCCCUAGCUGGUCUGAGAGGAUGACCAGCCACACUGGAACUGAGACACGGUCCAGACUCCUACGGGAGGCAGCAGUGGGGAAUAUUGCACAAUGGGCGCAAGCCUGAUGCAGCCAUGCCGCGUGUGUGAAGAAGGCCUUCGGGUUGUAAAGCACUUUCAGCGGGGAGGAAGGCGUUAAGGUUAAUAACCUCAUCGAUUGACGUUACCCGCAGAAGAAGCACCGGCUAACUCCGUGCCAGCAGCCGCGGUAAUACGGAGGGUGCAAGCGUUAAUCGGAAUUACUGGGCGUAAAGCGCACGCAGGCGGUCUGUCAAGUCGGAUGUGAAAUCCCCGGGCUCAACCUGGGAACUGCAUUCGAAACUGGCAGGCUAGAGUCUUGUAGAGGGGGGUAGAAUUCCAGGUGUAGCGGUGAAAUGCGUAGAGAUCUGGAGGAAUACCGGUGGCGAAGGCGGCCCCCUGGACAAAGACUGACGCUCAGGUGCGAAAGCGUGGGGAGCAAACAGGAUUAGAUACCCUGGUAGUCCACGCCGUAAACGAUGUCGAUUUGGAGGUUGUGCCCUUGAGGCGUGGCUUCCGGAGCUAACGCGUUAAAUCGACCGCCUGGGGAGUACGGCCGCAAGGUUAAAACUCAAAUGAAUUGACGGGGGCCCGCACAAGCGGUGGAGCAUGUGGUUUAAUUCGAUGCAACGCGAAGAACCUUACCUGGUCUUGACAUCCACAGAACUUUAGCAGAGAUGGAUUGGUGCCUUCGGGAACUGUGAGACAGGUGCUGCAUGGCUGUCGUCAGCUCGUGUUGUGAAAUGUUGGGUUAAGUCCCGCAACGAGCGCAACCCUUAUCCUUUGUUGCCAGCGGUCCGGCCGGGAACUCAAAGGAGACUGCCAGUGAUAAACUGGAGGAAGGUGGGGAUGACGUCAAGUCAUCAUGGCCCUUACGACCAGGGCUACACACGUGCUACAAUGGCAUAUACAAAGAGAAGCGACCUCGCGAGAGCAAGCGGACCUCAUAAAGUAUGUCGUAGUCCGGAUUGGAGUCUGCAACUCGACUCCAUGAAGUCGGAAUCGCUAGUAAUCGUAGAUCAGAAUGCUACGGUGAAUACGUUCCCGGGCCUUGUACACACCGCCCGUCACACCAUGGGAGUGGGUUGCAAAAGAAGUAGGUAGCUUAACCUUCGGGAGGGCGCUUACCACUUUGUGAUUCAUGACUGGGGUGAAGUCGUAACAAGGUAACCGUAGGGGAACCUGCGGUUGGAUCACCUCCUU
rnacentral:rRNA from 1 species